CGCCUGAGGCGCGCCUUUGAUAACGGUGCUUCUUGCUAAACAUAAGACUAUGUCUGUCUUAAGGUAGGUAAAAAAUCCUUCCCAAGUACUUGGACCCGAAUCUAAUCAUAUUCCACAUUCAACCCAGCAAGAAAAUUAUAGAUCCGCUCUUUCUCAACUUGCUUCUGAAACUUAACUGCAUCAUCUGGACAUGAGGCCUGAAAGUCCUGG
rnacentral:misc_RNA from 1 species